rnacentral:lncRNA from 1 species
AAACAUUUCAAACAAUUUUGGAUUGUUACUCGGUCAUUUUAGAGUAGUUUUAUAUGGUUAACCCAACUCCUGACGUCAUCAAAACCAUAGUUAAUGAGGUCAAGAAUUAGUCCAAGAUGGCGGAUAGCUCAUUAAUUUCAGUCUAAAAAUUUCGAGAACUAAGCAAGAUAUGACAAAUCGGUAAUAGAGUUUAAUACAUAAUUUUAGGAGUUCUU